GUUCAAGGUGCUUUCCACGACUUUGGUCACAGCUUGUUUGAGCUUGGUAAAAAGGGAAAUGCCUCUCUCUGUCUGAAGGAUGGAAUGAAGGAGAGAACCCUGAAGAUGAGACGAUAGCAAGGUGUGGACAGUCUGAGUAAAGGGACAACAUCACAACUUCCAUGAGCCUCUGCCACCUUUUAAGCACUGUGCUACGUACUAGGUGCAGAAACUGAGCGUCAGGAAUCAAACAGCUCGUCGCUCCUGGCCACGGUAGACACUACAGAGGGCUGGUUCUGACCUGGGCUUGCUGGAUCCUGCAGCUCUCGGUGACGGUGGAGCCACUGAGGACUGGAGAGCUUCCAAACUGGGAGGAACCAAGGUCCCACCCUCCUCUCUCCAGCCAGCAGCCAGCUCCACUCGCCAGUGUGUAGAGUGCCAGCUUGGAAGUUGACGCUUCGGCUCCAGGCGAGACUCACCU
rnacentral:lncRNA from 1 species